GCCCCCCGGGACGCCGGGGGCCGGGGGACCAGCCUCUCUCUCUGCUCGGGGACCGGCCCAGCCCGGGCAGGGGAGCCCACGGACCUUCCCGUGGCUGGAGACGGAGACCCCCGCCAGCGCUCCCCGCCUCCGUCCGCGCCAGGGAGCCCACCCGGCCCAGGUUCCAGCCAUCGAAAAGUCCUUUAAGUUCUAGGACGCUGGCUGUCUGCCUGGCAGCGGUUGGGGAAGAAGGGGACUGCCAUGUGUAGGUCCACUCCCUCUCCUUGAUGUUAUUCAUCACAAUGGCUAGCUAGCGUUCCACCCACAGAUUUCUGUUGCAACCAGCCACCGUGUGCCCGGCACUGGGCUCGGGGGUGUGCACAUUAUCCUUUAAUCUCCGCGACAUGCCAUAGGAGGUACGUAUCUUUAUCCCAAUUUUUUAGGUAACAAAGACUGAGGCUUAGAGAGGUGGAAUAAAUUGCCAGAGGUCACCCAGGGGAUAAGAAACAAAUCCAGAGUUUAAGCACAAGUCUUACUCCAAGGCUAUUGCUCCUAAAUACGAUACAGUUCUCUCUGUCUCUCUUUGGAAAUGAACCAUCUGAUCCCAUCAAAAGCAAGAAAAAAGAAAAAGAACGACUGAACCGGAGUCCACCGCGCACACACCUGUUCUCCCAAGCAUGGAGAGGCAAGGUUAACCUUCCUGUUUGUCCCUGACUACUGGCUCAGGCUCGCUGAGAAAUCACCUGUUGGAAGCACCUGGAACAAGUCAACCUGCUGUGUGUGGAGAACAGCCACUCUCCCUUCCAAGCCCUGUGUGGUUGCUGCUUGCAGGUUCCUGGAGAACAGAGCCAACACUGGAAGGUUCUUCUUUUUGAGGACUCUCGACCACAUCUAUGCCUUCAAUUAUUACCAAACACGAGUUUAUCAUACUUCUAAAUAAAGCUCAACCUGGAUCUCCA